ensembl:ncRNA T07D10.11 ncRNA
UGGCGCAGUGGGGAUUUUCGACGGCUAAUAAUCAGACGACCGGGGUUCGAUUCC